GACGAACGCUGGCGGCGUGCUUAACACAUGCAAGUCGAACGGAAAGGCCCUGCUUUUGUGGGGUGCUCGAGUGGCGAACGGGUGAGUAACACGUGAGUAACCUGCCCUUGACUUUGGGAUAACUUCAGGAAACUGGGGCUAAUACCGGAUAGGAUCUCCUGCUGCAUGGUGUGGGUUGGAAAGUUUCGGCGGUUGGGGAUGGACUCGCGGCUUAUCAGCUUGUUGGUGGGGUAGUGGCUUACCAAGGCUUUGACGGGUAGCCGGCCUGAGAGGGUGACCGGCCACAAUGGGACUGAGAUACGGCCCAGACGCCUACGGGAGGCAGAAGUGGGGAAUAUUGCACAAUGGGCGGAAGCCUGAUGCAGCAACGCCGCGUGCGGGAUGACGGCCUUCGAGUUGUAAACCGCUUUCGCCUGUGGCGAAGCGUGAGUGACGGUAAUGGGUAAAGAAGCACCGGCUAACUACGUG
rnacentral:rRNA from 1 species